CCUAGAGCCAGUGUCAGUUUCAUGAUAACCACAGUCAAUCCAUGAUCAAUAAAAUUCAGUCAGUUACAUGACUCAAGAAAACUCAGUAAAUUCAGUAUUAGUCCAGUAAUCUAAGUAAUCUCAGUUAUUAUAGGGUGUGAUUCUUAGAAGAAAUCAUUGUGCUCUAAAACUAUGUAGACAACAUAGGUUGAGACAUCAAACCUGCUAGUUAAGGGUAGAUAAAAUG
rnacentral:lncRNA from 1 species